rnacentral:rRNA from 1 species
GAUUUCUGAUUGACCACCCUGGCCCGCGGCUUAUCGGUCGUGAGUGCUGGUGUGAGUCUGUCAUCCUUCUAGAGAGCCAUGCCUGCUGUUCACUCAGCUGGGCGUGUGCGAUCUAGAUCAUUUACUUUGAAAAAAUUAGAGUGUUUAAAGCAGGCUUAUGCUGUGAAUACAUUAGCAUGGAAUAAUAAUAUAGGACUUCGGUUCUAUUUUGUUGGUUUCUAGGACUGAAGUAAUGAUUGAUAGGGAUAGUUGGGGGUGCUAGUAUUCAGCGGCCAGAGGUGAAAUUCUUGGAUUCGCUGAAGACUAACUACUGCGAAAGCAUU